GCUGGGUGAGGUGGCACAUGCCUGUAGUCCCAGCUACUCGAGAAGCCGAGGCUGGAGAGGAGUUCUGGGCAGUAGCAUGCUAUGCCGAUAGAAUAUCCGCACUUAGUUUGUUAUCAAUAUGGUGACCUCCCGAGAACGGGGUGUCACCAGGUUGCCUAAGGAGGGUUGAACCUGCUCAGGUCGGAAGCGGAGCAGGUCAAAACUCCCGGGCUGAUGAGUAGUGGGAUCGAGCCCAUGCAUAGCUACUGCACUCCAGCCUGAGCAACAGUGAGGCCCUGUCUCU
rnacentral:SRP_RNA from 1 species